rnacentral:lncRNA from 1 species
CUAACCAAAUUAUCUUGAGACCCAUUAUUGAAAAGAGCUUGAUCAGAAUGGAAAAGACCUUUGCUUGCAACAAGGUUUUUAUAGUAAUUGUUAUCAAAACUUGUUGGAGUGAGAGUAUCAAGUGGUGCUAAAUUGGUGUCACCACCAGAAAGAGGACAAUUUGAUUUCCUUAAGGUUGCAAAGUUUGUGUCAAUGUUGGUUUCAUUGUAUAUGCGAUUUCUGAAAAAUUGGCACUCUCCUUGGCCUAUGGUGUGUGCACCAGAAAGUACUGUGAGGUCACUUGCAGUUAGACCCUUGGCUGAAAACAUUGUAGUGAGAGUGGAAAGGUCAGAAAAUGGUGAAGGGAUUUGACUAUUUGCUGCACUUUGGCUUGCUGUUCUUGCAUCUCUUCUUCCAAGUGGUACUACCCAUGUUGGUCCUCCAAGCUACAAAUAAAAAAUAAAACUAUUAAUAUGGGUGAAAGUGUAACUCAAGUUUCUCUCAGCGAGAUGGAGUAUAAUUUUUUCUAAUAUGUUUUGCAUCAGAAGAAAGAAAUUGGAAUGGAGUAAUGGACCACUCACCAGAAAUACUCCAUCUCUUGCUGCAAGUGCUAGAAUAUCAGCACAAGAUACAGUGGCAUUGCAAGAAGCUUCAACACUGGUUUUAAUGGUGUCAAUCACUUCGAAACCCCUAGCUGAAUUUUUGUUAGGUGCGGCAUUUUUCUCACCGGUAAAGGUGGCAGUGUCAUCCAAUAAGAUUGAUCCAUCACAUCCCUACAAAAUAAACAUAGAAACGUGAUUAUGCAAUUUUUUAAAAAUAUGGCCCAUAUAUAUAUAAUGCAUAAAUAAAUUAUUUUUGAACAUUAUCUUACAUUAACAAAGCAAUCAUGGAAGAACAAGCGAAGUAUAGAAGCCCCGAUCCGAGGUUCUGUUUUGAUAGCACUAGUCAUUUUAUUGCGCACAAUGGUUUGAAGGCUAGGGCAGGUUGUACCAUAGAAGUUAUUAACAAGUUGUGCAUUUGUAGAACAAGCUAAGAGAGAAAAAAUGGAGAGUAUAACAAAUAAUUUCAUAAAGGUAGCCAUAUUAAUAAAUCUCUAAAUUUUAGAGCUUUAAGCUGCCAAUGGAGUAGCUAAACAAAGUGAGUGAAUUCUGAAGAGACAUGUUAAAGAUUAAGCAAUAUAUAUAGAAGAAUUGUGAGGGUCCAUGCAUGCAUGGAGAUUGGUAUAAGAGUCAGAUUGAGAAGAUAUUAUUUAUGAAAAUAAUAAUUUGUCCCAAUUUUCAAAUUUGUCUGCUCAAUACGCGGUUUAAUUUUUGGGAGCAACUGGUGGAGAAAUUUUGUGAGAUAAGAGUAUGAUGGUUACCCAAGAGUAGUUGACUUAAGCUAUAAUAAUAAAACAAAGGAAAAAGCUGCAAAUAAUGGAAGUUUGUGAGGAAAAGCUCAAAGUAUGAAGUCGUCGUUGCAGGUUCGACAUGCAUGUUUAACGUGGACAAAAGCAUUUCAUUGUACAAUAGUUUUUUCAUAAAACAAAGGUAUUAAUCAAUGAUUAAAAUCCUCUAAUAUACUCGGCCGAUUAAUUCGACCGAUUAAACCGAGAAUUGGUCAGUUUGUCGGUUGAUUUCAUUCCGAUUAUAUUGUAACGUGGUUGAACCGAUUGAAAUGCAUACCACAAUAUGUUUAACCGUUUUUUUCCUUCUUGUUUUUAAUUUUAACUUUUUUAAGUAAAAACUGAAUGUGAAAAUAUCUUAUAAAAGAAAUGAUAUCUCAACUAAGUUGACAAGCGAAAACUAUCAUCUUUCAUUUGUAGCGCUUCUGAAUUUUAAAUUUUAAUAUUUUUUACUUAUUUCGGUAUUUGUCAUCCAAAUCAACCGUGCUUGAACCACAUUAUUAUCAAGAGUUUGGCUGGUCAUGAGAUUUUGAAUGUCAUGGAAGAACAAAUAGACCGGUGCUCUUGUAAUAACUUCAACUUUAUCUCCUUGCAUUUUUUCAUUCAAUCAAGGUAUGCCUAUUUAAUUGUCAAGUAUAAUAGGAUUAAUUUAAGUUUUUUGUCCCCUAUGUUUAAUUACUCACGAAAUUAGUCCCCCAAUUAUAUGAUUUACAAUGUUUGUUCAACUUUUAUUUUACUAACGGUCAAAAAACUUUUAUUUUAUUAAUUAAUAUAUAAUGAGAUGAGAUUGAGAUUGCUUUGUGUGACAUUGUAAUUUAAGAAGGUAUUUAAGAAUUUAUCAAUAAUUAAUUUUUUUUUGACCAACAAUAAUUAAUUAUUAUUUAUGUAUUGGUGAACCAAAAAAAUCCAGCGUGGCAUAUGUUCUUAUUCAAAAAAGAAAUAGCGUGGCAUGCAAAAACUCCAAUCAUCCAUUCAGCACAAGUACUAAUCAUUAACAUUAUAUGACAGUUAUUAGUUUGACCAAUAUUUCACUCAUAGUUGUAUGCAUGGACAUCAACUUGAUUAGAGUUUUUAUUCAAAACGUAAAGAAUUCUAGCUAACACGAGAAAACGCAAAGAGUUUGGGCUAAUUAGUCAAACACAUCUACAUCGUUCUUUGAUUUUUGGUGAUGACAAAUUCAUAUUGCUGAUUAAUUAUUUAUUAUUUUUAAAAUAACCUAUCGACUAUAAUUUCAUCUCUUAAGUGAAUAAAUAAAAAAAUUUAGAUUCAAACACCGACCUUAUAUAUAUAUAUAAUUGGAUACCGAUUAUGUCUUGUAAAUGACUUUUUGGUCAAAAUCAUUUCAUAUCAUUGUCUUAAUUAUACAAAUGGUAUCAUUUUAUAUGAAAAUAUAUCAUUUCAUUGUUUAUAAGAAUCAUACUAAAUUUUUUACAUUUUAUUAUAAAAAAAUAAUCAAUAUUCUCUAUUACGAGUAAUAAAAAUUAAAAAAUAAAUAAAUUUUAUUUCGUUGAAGUUUUUGGAAUACAAGAUUUAGUAAUUAUAAAUUAUAAGCAAUAUAAAAUCAUUUUUUCUUCAAAAAAUAACUCAUUUAACUAUUAAUUUAAAGAUGUAUAAUGUUAACUUGUGCCCUUAGGGCACAUGAUAAGAAUUCCAAUAAUGAAAAUUAUGCAUUGGAAAUUAUGUUAAUUUAUUGUUCAAAAUGUUUAAUAUUAAUUUUUUUUCAUUAAUUUUUACCAUUAGUGACAUGAAAUUAAUGCUUCACAUGUGCCCUAAGGACACAAGUUAACAUGACCUUUUAAAGAUUUGGUGUACUAAUACACUUAAAUUUUCAAAUGUAUCAUAUAAUUUGCCUCGAAUCAAUACAAUACAAAUUGUACUGUGCAAGAUCCGUUAAAAAAAAUUACGAAACAAAUUUUAGGAACAUAUAUUACGGAACAAAUUCUAGGAAUGUAUUAAUUUGUUUUGAACGAAAAUUUCAUGAAGGAUAAUCAUCACAAAUUUCAUGAACGAAAAUUUCAUGAAGCAUACAUUGAAACAAUUUAAAAAAUUAUAUAUGCUAUAUGUUUAACAAACAAUUCAUCUCAUACCCCUUGUUGUGAAUAUUUUCAAUAAACUCGAGAAUUAGUUAAAUAAAUAUUCAACAUCAUGACUAGAUUAAAUUGAAAUAAUAAAAAUACUCCCUCCUGUUUUAUUUAUAAGACUUUUUAAAAAAACAAAUUGGUUCUAUUUAUAAGAAAAAAUCCACUACUUUUAAGAUAUAUUUAUUGUUUAAAAGGUUUUUUAGCCCUUAUUUAAUGUUUGUCCUUUAAAUAUUAGUAAUAGGUAUAUUUAAUAAUGUAGAGAUAUCUAUGAGUGUAUAUUUGUAAAAUCAUUAAAAAGUUGUAACAAUUUAUUAUUGUCUUGGUUUUGAUGUUUAUUUGUGUAUCAUCUAUACAGUCCUUCAUGGAUACAUCACCAUUAAAUUGAAUUCUUUAGAAAUUUACGGAGAAUAAAAAUUAAGUUUUUAAUUUUUGGGGAACUAUACACAAUCAAAUUUUGAUUCCAACAUAAAAUGACUUUUAUCAUUCAUUACUUGAAGUAAAACAAAUACAUGUAUUCCCUUCGUUUCAAAAUGUAAGCAAAAAUGGGUCAACAUAAGUUAUAUAUCUUGUACAAAUUUUGAACCAAAUACAUUAACUUUUGUUGACUAAAUUUUUUCUUACAUUUUGUGAAGGAGGGAGUAUUUGUGAAAAUACAAACAUUCAAAUUAUCCAAAAUGAUAACGCAACAAACAAUACUACUAUUAUCAAUGUGUCUAAGAUCAAGUCACCACAUUGUUUAUUUAAUUGCUUAUAAGCCCUCCAAUAUUCAAUAUCAAUUCACAAGCCUACAAUUCUUUCUGAUCUCCCCAUUAGUCCCAGUGAGAGGACUGAUUUUACUCAGUUUCACCAUAGCAGCAGCAAAGUCUGUAGAAAAAGCAGCCUCAUUGGUACUAUAACUCCUAACCAAAUUAUCUUGAGACCCAUUAUUGAAAAGGACUUGAUCAGAAUGGAAUAGACCUUUGCUUGCAACAAGGUUUUUAUAAUAAUUGUUGUCAAAACUUGUUGGAGUGAGAGUAUCAAGUGGUGCUAAAUUGGUGUCAUUGUCACUAGAAAAAGAACAGUUGGAUUUUCUUAAGGUUGCGAAGUUUGUGUCAAUGUUGGUUUCAUUGUAUAUGCGAGUUCU